rnacentral:tRNA from 1 species
GUCUCGAUAGCUCAGCUGGAUAGAGCAUCCCCCUCCUAAGGGGAAGGUCGUAGGUUCGAAUCCUACUCGGGACGCCA